CCUACGGGUGGCAGCAGUGGGGAAUAUUGCACAAUGGGGGAAACCCUGAUGCAGCGACGCCGCGUGAGUGAAGAAGUAAUUCGUUACGUAAAGCUCUAUCAGCAGGGAAGAAACACUGACCUUACGGUCAGCAGACGGUACCUGAGUAAGAAGCCCCGGCUAACUACGUGCCAGCAGCCGCGGUAAUACGUAGGGGGCAAGCGUUAUCCGGAUUUACUGGGUGUAAAGGGAGCGUAGACGGCAGUGCAAGUCUGGAGUGAAAGGCGGGGGCUCAACCCCCGGACUGCUCUGGAAACUGUACGGCUGGAGUGCAGGAGAGGUAAGUGGAAUGCCUAGUGUAGCGGUGAAAUGCGUAGAUAUUAGGAGGAACACCAGUGGCGAAGGCGGCUUACUGGACUGUAACUGACGUUGAGGCUCGAAAGCGUGGGGAGCAAACAGGAUUAGAUACCCUAGUAGUC
rnacentral:rRNA from 1 species